GAUGAACGCUGACAGAAUGCUUAACACAUGCAAGUCGACUCGAGUCUUCGGACUUGGGUGGCGCACGGGUGAGUAACGCGUAAAGAACUUGCCUCUUAGUCUGGGACAACAUCUGGAAACGGAUGCUAAUACCGGAUAUUAUGGUUUUUUCGCAUGGAGGAAUCAUGAAAGCUAGAUGCGCUAAGAGAGAGCUUUGCGUCCCAUUAGCUAGUUGGAGAGGUAACAGCUCACCAAGGCGAUGAUGGGUAGCCGGCCUGAGAGGGUGAUCGGCCACAAGGGGACUGAGACACGGCCCUUACUCCUACGGGAGGCAGCAGUGGGGAAUAUUGGACAAUGGACCAAGAGUCUGAUCCAGCAAUUCUGUGUGCACGAUGAAGUUUUUCGGAAUGUAAAGUGCUUUCAGUUGGGAAGAAAGAAAUGACGGUACCAACAGAAGAAGUGACGGCUAAAUACGUGCCAGCAGCCGCGGUAAUACGUAUGUCACGAGCGUUAUCCGGAUUUAUUGGGCGUAAAGCGCGUCUAGGUGGUUAUGUAAGUCUGAUGUGAAAAUGCAGGGCUCAACUCUGUAUUGCGUUGGAAACUGUAUAACUAGAGUACUGGAAAGGUAAGCGGAACUACAAGUGUAGAGGUGAAAUUCGUAGAUAUUUGUAGGAAUGCCGAUGGGGAAGCCAGCUUACUGGACAGAUACUGACGCUGAAGCGCGAAAGCGUGGGUAGCAGACAGG
rnacentral:rRNA from 1 species